ensembl:lincRNA
AAGAAAUGAGCAGAAAUGUUAAAUAGAAGAGUGGCAUGAUUACAUUUUAAUAGGUUCUUUUACAGAGUGUGUGAAAGAUAUCACAUGCAGCAAGGUGGAAUGAAAUAUUAAGGGGAAUAACAGGUUGGAGAUACGUACAAUAAAUCAGGAGCACAACGGGAUGCUCUGUUGCCAUGACUAUGAAGGUCAGAACUCAGCCUGCUGCCCAUAGUACCAAAGAUCAUGAUUCUCUCUUCGUGCAUGGCUGUUCCCAAUAGCCUGCACAAAGACGUGUCUGCAGUUGCCACUUCUAUCCAUCUGUCUACUUUUAGCAGGUACUUUAACAAAUACUUUGUUUUUCUCUCUCCUUUAUUUAUUUUUUCUUUUUUAUUUUCUUUUCAGUGUUGUAGAGUUAGAGUUAUUAUUUUUUUUCUCUUUUUCUCACACAAUUCCUUCUCUGUAGAUACAAAGUCCAAAUCCCUAGCCGUUGUAAUUAUUAGCAUAUUCCUGGAGAAAGUUGCAACAGUCUACAUUAAAGGACUCCCUGCAGAAAUUUACACAAUUUUUGAGCACCUGUGUACAAGUCACUUGUGAAGGACAAUGAAAUGCAUUCCAUGAAUUAGUACCAAGGAAAAAUUCUGAUCUGAUUAGAAUGUUUGCUACUUCUCCAGGACAGGAAAUGUACAGAGUGGGCUGAGAUGAAGAGGAUAGCAGAAAAAGAAAAUUAACAAGGCUGGUUCUAAGGACAUGGGUAGUUUGUUUCCUGAGAAGCAAAUUUACUUUUCCAAGGAGAUUUUAAAGUUUGUCACAUUGCCUAUGCAACACCAGACUAUGUUUCAUGCAUACAUUUGUGCAAUAUACACACAUACACAGGAAUGACAUUAGAAAAGAGACAAAUGGACUCAUUUCUAUUGGCUGGAAGUUAUCCUCAGACCUAUCUCAGAGCAUGCUGCUUUGAAAUUGUCACUACCACUUAACUAUAAUAUGAAAAAUGAUUUAAAAUACAAGAAUUAGGUAAAAGGAUUUGCAGCAUCUUCUUUCAAUCUUACACUGAGGCAGUGUUUAACAGUAUCAACCAAAGAUCAUUUAUACUAGGGGAAUACAGUUGGUUUGACCCACUGUUUUCUACUGAGUAAAAACUUAAUACACUAUAUGUUAACUUACAGAUUUUGGUGCAGUAGAAAUGUGAAUAGCUUCCGUUAGGGAGAAAGGAUGACCCCCAAGCAGGGUUGCCUGUGGAACCCUAGUUGGGCUUGCUUUAUCCUAUUAUUCUUGCACUAAUGUUGUUUCAAAAUGCCCAUAAAAAUCCAAAUUCUCAAAAUGCCCUUUGGACCAGACUUACCAUCUUAAUGGUUUUCUCAUAUUAAGUUAAGUUUAGCCUAAAGCUGCCUCCUUACAUAUUUUAAGUUCAGCCUAGGUUUUUCUGUACAUCGUAAACUGUAACAAGUAGAAGUAUUAACAGGCCAUAGCCUACUCUUGUGCCAAUCACUGAGUUUUGGCUGAUCAAAUGUGGCCAAAUGUUCAAACCAUGUUCAAAUAAGGCAAAUGCCAAGCUAUAACCAAUCCAGCUGUACUUCACAUUUGUUUUGUCACUUUCCUUUUUCUGUCCAUACAUCUUUUUCCACACGUGGCUGCUAGAGUCUCUGAGCCUACUCUGGCUCGGGAGACUGCCUGAUUCACAAAUCGGUUCUUUGCUCAAUUAAACUCUUUUAAAUUUAAUUCGGC